rnacentral:rRNA from 1 species
UACGGAGGAUGCGAGCGUUAUCCGGAUUUAUUGGGUUUAAAGGGUGCGUAGGCGGCUUAGUAAGUCAGCGGUGAAAUUUUGCAGCUUAACUGUAACAGUGCCGUUGAUACUGCCAGGCUAGGAUUUGGUUGCUGUGGGUGGAAUGUGUGGUGUAGCGGUGAAAUGCUUAGAUAUCACACAGAAUAUCGAUUGCGAAGGCAGCUCACAAAGCCAAGAUUGACGCUGAGGCACGAAAGCGUGGGGAUCAAACAGGA